rnacentral:rRNA from 1 species
CAGUCAUGCCGGAGAGAAUCAACUCUGGGGAAGGGGGAUACUCUUGAACCUAACCUCGAAGCGCACUACUUCGCUUGGCAGGUUAGCGUCGAUUUUGACGUUCUAAGAUGAUUGGGGGAAGGUAGCUCUUUCGGGGAGUGUUAUAGCCCUUAAUUAAUGUGAUAUUUGGGAUCGAGGAUUGCAACGGAUACCUUUUUAGGCUAGCCGCCUAGCCUCUGAUUCGAUGUCGGAUUAUAGACAGCACGCUGACUAUGAUCUGAUUAUUGGUCGAAAGGUUAGAGUGAGCAUAAA